UGUGGGCUCUCUCCUCCCCCUAUAUAAACCAGAAGCCAAGUAGGUGGGAAGCAAUGUUGGUUAAUGCUUGAUUCUCAAAAGGGAUUAAGCUUUCCUGCUUCCUUUCUUGCCACAAGUUUCCAACUAAAUCGUCUUUAGGGAUUCGAUGCCUCAUGGUCCAUCACUCCUGGCAGGUGACUGUUAAGUGUAAAUCAUCUGUUACGUGGAGUGCGGCAAAGUUCGAAGUCCUAUUUACUCUGCCCAUUAUGUCAUUCUGGCUAUUUUAUUAUCGGCUUACUCUAAAGAAAAUGAUUCUUACCGUAUCAGUUCCCAAAGAUAGAUUUGAGAUAAGAUUCAUCAGGCUAUUAUGUCCUGUGCAAGGUGUCAUUUUCUUGAGGAGAUCUAUUUGGCAGCUUGAGGUGGAUGUUGAAGCAUAUUCCACAGCCACUUCUUGUUUAUCAGAAACUUGAAGAAUUUCAGCUGCAUCUGAAUAUUCAGGUCCUUUUGAUACAUCAUGGCUAAGCUGAGAAGCA